rnacentral:rRNA from 1 species
UACGGAGGGUGCAAGCGUUAUCCGGAUUCACUGGGUUUAAAGGGUGCGUAGGUGGGAAAGUAAGUCAGUGGUGAAAUCUCCGUGCUUAACACGGAAACUGCCAUUGAUACUAUUUUUCUUGAAUUUUCUGGAGGUCAGCGGAAUAUGUCAUGUAGCGGUGAAAUGCUUAGAUAUGACAUAGAACACCAAUUGCGAAGGCAGCUGGCUACGAGGGAUGAUUGACACUGAGGCACGAAAGCGUGGGGAUCAAACAGG